rnacentral:misc_RNA from 1 species
CCCGCCGCGCCCGCCGCGCCCGGCGUGAGGCGCGCGCUGCCCGCCCGCGUCGAGCCCGCGCCCGCGCGAAACACAAACCCGGGUCGCGGAAAACGGUUCACAUUCCAGUCGACAGUGAGACAAUUGGAGAGGCGGCGACUGGCUGAGAAGCUGUCCCGAGAGGCGGAUCUCAAGGAGCAACAGAGGCGGACCGAACUGGAGGCCAUGAGGAGAGUUGAAGAAGAAUUUCAGAGGAAGAGAGCGAGAGAAAAGGCGAACAUUCGCCAGCAAUUGAGGCUGGUCAGCAGCGGAGCUAACAGCAUGCCACCUACCUCCCACCAGAAUAAGACACGGGACGAGCCAGACGGGUCGUGCCGCGCGUCCCCUGCAGCAGAGCGCGCGAGGGAUGGCCGACAGAGGAACAGCACCGCGUCCUCCGAGGGCAGCGGCAGGAGCAAGAGCUCCACACCGAUCCGCAGCGUGGAGCUGUCCGAGUGGCGCACCGAGAGCGGCGCGCGAGUGUACCGCGACUGGGCGGCGCAGGCGGCGCUCGCGCAUGCGCACCCGCCCGCUUGUGCGCGCAUGCCUUCCGCGCACUACGGUACGUACACACUCACACACACGCACA